GAAAAAUGGGGUGAGAUGGUUCGGGGGAAUUGGGGACGAAAAAUGGAAAUUGUGCGGCAGUAUUUCAGUUGGCGCGUAAUCAGAGGGUCACGCGAAAUUGGAUCUGGAAUUGGAAAUAGAAUUGGAGUGGGGAUAGAUCAUAGAUAAAGGAAAAAGAAGUUUUAGUUUUAUCCACUUGGCUCCGAUACUUAUGUCAUGCACCAUCAACCCCUAUCGGUUUCUCUCUCUAAUUUCCAUCCAUCCAUCCAUCCAAUCUCCAUUAAAAAUCUGCAACUCUCGCUCUUGCUCCCGCUCUUGCUCUUCGACUCUUUUUCAUUGGCUAAAGUCAUCACUAGACUAGACGCCAAACGGCCAAAGUUUUCUGGGUUUCUUGUGAGGCUUGUGG
rnacentral:lncRNA from 1 species